rnacentral:tRNA from 1 species
GGAUGGGUGGCCGAGCGGUCGAAGGCGCACGCCUGGAAAGUGUGUAUACGGUUUUCCCGUAUCGUGGGUUCGAAUCCCACCCCAUCCGCCA